AGUGCAAGUUCACAUAUAUAUACUCCCAAAACACUAUUCAUAUCAGAUUGUGGUUCAGAUACAGAUAUUUUGUCUGCCCUUCUGAACGUCCGAUUGAGGUCAAAUUUGGCAGUAAUGAUCAGUUUUACCUUACUUAAUGAAAGAAAUUUUAAUCUUUCAGUUUCGACCCCGUUUGGUUACCGAAAACUGUACCGAACUGUAAUUUUCAUCAGAUAACCGUCGGAUUUUAUUCUUCACCUUCCGGGUGUCAGAAUGGCAUGAAACUUUAAAUCUAGCCUCAUAAAAAUAAUCCAAACACAUUCUCAAAUUUUUGGAAUUUUCUGACACUGUGCAUUUUCUGCUAAAAUAUCAGCCCCGUCUCUCACAGAAAAAUUCUCAAUCUUCUAUUUUCACUGCGAUUUCCGCACGAGUCAAUCCUGACGUAUAAUUUACUUGUCUAAAUCCAAUAAAAAUAGUAUCUCACACUUUUUUUAUUAUAUUCACUUUUAAUUAAAAAAAAAUCCGGUAUGCUACAGCUUCACUAUAG
rnacentral:lncRNA from 1 species